AUGUUGAUGUUGCUGUUUCUUUAAAACAAUCUUGGUUUGCGUUUGAAAAAUUGGAAACUACGUGAUAAAGCAAAGAGGUCUACGAAAAAGUUGUAGAAAUUGAAAACUAUCGUUAGGUCUAAAUCAUGCUGAUGUUGCUGCGUCUUUACACAAUUCUAGUAUCGGUGUAUUAUGAUACUGGAAAAAUACGACAAAGCUAUAGAGUUUUACGAAAAAGCUCUUGGAAAUC